rnacentral:lncRNA from 1 species
UAAUUAAUAAAGAACUCCUUGAUUGGUUGCCCAAUUAGGAGGAUAAGUGUCUACAAAAGAAACUUCAUAAAAUAAAAGUCUGGAAGAACGGGCUAAGCAGUCCGCUUUAACAUUACAUAAACGGGGAAUAAGAGAGAGCGAGAAGAAGGGGAAAGAGACACGGAGAAAACCAAACUCGUCUAGCAGAUUGGAGAAAGCGGGCCAUUCGUCAGGGGACUGUAUCAUCGAGACUAACUCCGAACAAUCUGUUUCAAACGCCUGACAAUAUAUCCUUCUUGAAAGGAUAUUCUUCAUAGCCCAAAUUAAAGCUUCCAUCUCCGAGUGAAGGGGGG